GGCUGUGUAGCUCAGUGGCAGAGCGCCUGGGGUUUCUUCCUUCCUAGAACCCGUCCGCUCCGAAGACCUAGAAUCCUACAUACACUCCCCCAGGAGGUCGGUGGUUCGAUCCCACCCGCAGCCA
rfam:Verticillium albo-atrum VaMs.102 supercont1.4 genomic scaffold, whole genome shotgun sequence.